rnacentral:rRNA from 1 species
UACAGAGGGGGCAAGCGUUAUUCGGAAUUAUUGAGCGUAAAGGGCGCGUAGGCGGCUUUGCAAGUGACGGGUGAAAUCCCUCGGCUUAACCGAGGAACUGCCUGUCAAACUGCAUGGCUUGAAACCGGGAGAGGUGAGUGGAAUUCCCAGUGUAACGGUGAAAUGCGUAGAUAUUGGGAGGAACACCAGUGGCGAAGGCGGCUCACUGGACCGGUACUGACGCUGAGACGCGAAAGCGUGGGGAGCAAACAGG